UACGGGGGGGGCAAGCGUUGUUCGGAAUUACUGGGCGUAAAGGGCUUGUAGGCGGCCAACUAAGUCCGACGUGAAAUCCCCAGGCUUAACCUGGGAACUGCGUCGGAUACUGGAUGGCUUGAAUUCGGGAGAGGGAUGCAGAAUUCCAGGUGUAGCGGUGAAAUGCGUAGAUAUCUGGAGGAAUACCGGUGGCGAAGGCGGCAUCCUGGACCGACAUUGACGCUGAGGCGCGAAAGCUAGGGGAGCAAACGGG
rnacentral:rRNA from 1 species